rnacentral:tmRNA from 1 species
GGGGGUGAUUGGUCUCGACGGGGACACCUAGGCGAGGUGGCAAGCGGAGCUUCCGGACGCUCCUAAAACCCCGGGACGGCAAAAUAAAUGCCGAAUACGCAUCUGUUCCCGCCUACGCGCUGAACUAGCGUGGGCCAUCUCCGGGGCCAGAGCCCGCGGGGCCUUGGGGGUGUGGA